rnacentral:misc_RNA from 1 species
UGCCGGACCGUGCGCGGC